UGCCCAGCAACUCCUAUCCCUACCUCCUCGUGGUACUGGCCGGGGUACGAGUAACCUUGGGGAAGAUCGGGUAAUUAACCCCCGGUGGGAACUUUGGUCAUAUGCUGACAGGGAAUG
rnacentral:ribozyme from 1 species